rnacentral:lncRNA from 1 species
GGACUAGUGUAGUAACAUACCAUGGUGUCUAUGUACAGUGUACUAGUGUAGUAACAUACUAUGGUCUGUCUGCGUACAGUGGACUAGUGUAGUAACAUACCAUGGUGUCUGCGUACAGUGGACUAGUUUAGUAACAUACCAUGGUGUCUGCGUACAGUGGACUAGUGUAGUAACAUACAAUGGUGUCUAUGUACAGUGUACUAGUGUAGUAACAUACCAUGGUCUGUCUGCGUACAGUGGACUAGUGUAGUAACAUACCAUGGUGUCUGCGUACAGUGGACUAGUGUAGUAACAUACCAUGGUGUCUAUGUACAGUGUACUAGUGUAGUAACAUACUAUGGUCUGUCAGUGUACAGUGGACUAGUGUAGUAACAUACCAUGGUGUCUGCGUACAGUGGACUAGUGUAGUAACAUACUAUGGUGUCUAUGUACAGUGGACUAGUGUAGUAACAUACCAUGGUGUCUGCGUACAGUGGACUAGUGUAGUAACAUACCAUGGUGUCUAUGUACAGUGUACUAGUGUAGUAACAUACUAUGGCCUGUCAGUGUACAGUGGACUAGUGUAGUAACAUACUAUGGUCUGUCUGCGUACAGUGGACUAGUGUAGUAACAUACCAUGGUGUCUAUGUACAGUGUACUAGUGUAGUAAUAUACCAUGGUGUCUAUGUACAGUGGACUAGUGUAGUAACAUACUAUGGUCUGUCUGCGUACAGUGGACUAGUGUAGUAACAUACCAUGGUGUCUGCGUACAGUGGACUAGUGUAGUAACAUACCAUGAUGUCUAUGUACAGUGUACUAGUGUAGUAACAUACCAUGAUGUCUAUGUACAGUGUACUAGUGUAGUAACAUACCAUGGUGUCUAUGUACAGUGGACUAGUGUAGUAACAUACCAUGGUGUCUAUGUACAGUGUACUAGUGUAGUAACAUACUAUGGUCUGUCUGCGUACAGUGGACUAGUGUAGUAACAUACUAUGGUCUGUCUGCGUACAGUGGACUAGUGUAGUAACAUACCAUGGUGUCUAUGUACAGUGUACUAGUGUAGUAACAUACUAUGGUCUGUCUGCGUACAGUGGACUAGUGUAUUAACAUACCAUGGUGUCUGCGUACAGUGGACUAGUGUAGUAACAUACCAUGGUGUCUAUGUACAGUGUACUAGUGUAGUAACAUACCAUGGUGUCUGCGUACAGUGGACUAGUGUAGUAACAUACCAUGGUGUCUAUGUACAGUGUACUAGUGUAGUAACAUACUU